CGAAGGGUGCAAGCGUUAUCCGGAUUCAUGGGUUUAAAGGGUGCGUAGGCGGGGCAAUAAGUCAGUGGUGAAAUCCUGCGGCUUAACCGUAGAAUUGCCAUUGAUACUGUUGCUCUUGAGUAGGCUCGACGUGGGCGGAAUGUGCCGUGUAGCGGUGAAAUGCUUAGAUAUGGCACAGAACACCGAUAGUGAAGACAGCUCACGAGGGCCAAACUGACGCUGAGGCACGAAAGCGUGGGGAUCGAACAGGAUUAGAUACCCUGGUAGUCCACGCCGUAAACGAUGAUCACUCGUUAUUGGCGAUAUACGGUCAGUAACCUAGCGAAAGCGUUAAGUGAUCCACCUGGGGAGUACGAUCGCAAGAUUG
rnacentral:rRNA from 1 species